ensembl:lncRNA
CAUAGACCACAGCUGAGAGUUUUAGAGAAAAGGCGCUUUCGGCAAGUGCAAAGUGGUAUUGUCAUGUUGCUACUGGAGCUGUCUGUGAGAGCCAAGAAAAUAGGACAGAAUAAAAAGGAAGUAAAAUAAGUCAUAGUGAAACCCUCUCAGAGGAAGGAGAGCAAACAUUGAAAUAUUGCUUUUUCCUGGCUGCUUAUUAAAGGGGAAAUUUGCCUACUGUGCUGGAAGAGUCUUUUAUUCAUCAUUCAGUUGAUGUGAAGCUUCUAACUUAGGGUUUGUUUUUGUAUGCACAACCCAUUCUGUUUCUUAAGGUGAACUCUACUGACAGUGCGUUCUUUACCACUGGAGCCACCUGGGAAGCCCAAUACAGUGCCUAGAACCUGCAAGAUCCCUGUUAGACUGUGUGUUACUUCAUUUUUAUAUCUCCAAUACCUAGCACAAAGUCUGGAUCACAUUAUGUCCGAGGACCAGAGCGGCAUGAAUGUGACAUUUUGAAGCUAGACUCGGAUACCAUCUUUGGGAUUUCAGUCUGAAAAUACAAUUCUGAAAAAUCAACAGAACAAGGUUUUGUGGGACAAAAUGCCAAUAAGGUCAUUGCAUUUCUUUCCUACUGUUCCAGUGCCAUGCUCACAAUUACCUUAACUCUUGUCAAAAUAUUUUCUACGGUAAUAGCCAAAACAUAAUUAACACCUUUUCUUCAUGCUGAAAAUAUCAUUGGUAGCCAUAAAACAAAUUUGGAGAAAGCUUUUCAGCACUUUAACUCAGCAAAUGGCUACUGUGGUUAUACUGUGGUUAUUGGUUAUUGGUAUUUGCCUGCUCAUAGGAGUAACACCCCAUAAUACCCUGCUUUCUCUCCUCCCAAUAGCUCUAACUAUAUGGGAUAUGGAGAAACAGAAAGGUCAAGGGAGUAGGUAGGGGUUGGGUGGGGUGUGGAAACAAGUCGUGAAAUUCUGUGGGAAAUUAGACAUGAAAUAACCUUUCUGUGCUUUAGUUAUUGUUAUUUGCCUCUGUUAUUCUCCAACUUUUUCAUGUAUUUUUCCUGUAAUCAGGGUGAUAUUCUGAGAUAGUCUGUUUUCCAAAAGCCUGUCUUAAUGUCAGACAGGCAAAAAGUAUGGGUUAAUUUUGUCAUGAAUGGAAAGGCCCUUUAUGGCGUUUCCUGUAUUUUUGGUUCAGGCUACAAAAGCCGAAGUAGUUAUAAUCAGAGAUUUCCAGCAGGGGGUGUACCCACUUCUAUAGGGUAAGUUCUUUUGAAACCAAAUCACAUCAAACAUCUGAAUAUUAUAUGUAGUGUUACUGCUGAUGGUAAAAGCUGGAAUGUUGAUAACAUUUUUUAUGGCUGUCAUCUCUUUUGAUCCUAAGCAUGUGAAUACUUUGUUAGGAUGUGUUAAAGAACUAGAAAUUUGUGGAUGAUAUUUAAAUUAAAAACCUAAAAUGCCCGACUGAAAUCUUAUUCUGCUAAUUUUUUCAAAGUAAAUGAAGAACAAAGCUUUGGGUGAUUUUAAUUAUCCAGUGGAGAACAAGUGCUUAAAUUUUUUCCUUUUUAGAUAAGAAGAGUAGUUGAUCCAAGAGAGAUUGGUAAUAUUUACUCUUAUCUCUCCAGAGUGUUUCUGUGUGUAUGUAAAAUGAUAAGUUACUUAUUUUCUCAAAGUUUUUUUGUUUUGGGUGGGGAGGGUUGGUGUUUAAAGCUGUUUCCCUGAAGGCAUGGUUCCUAAUCAAUUUUAAAAUAUACCAUAUUAUCCUUGAGUUUUAUUUUCUGCUCUUUAUAGCCUUUAUUUGUAUAUAUCUAAGCAUUUAUAACCGUAGAAGUUUGACCCCCUUUUUCCAUUUUCAGAUUUUUAUUUAUGCAGAAAACUGUACGCUUUCUCUUGCGAGAGGAGCAGAUACAAAAAUUAAAAUGAUAUAAACUUGUUAGUUAUUUGUACUGGUAAGCAGCUCACCAGUGUAUUAGUAUUAAUAAGGAGCAAAGUUGUAAAGUUGAC